UACGAAAGGUGCUAGCGUUGUUCGGAAUUACUGGGCGUAAAGCGCGCGUAGGCGGGCUAGCAAGUUGGGGGUGAAAUCCCGGGGCUCAACCUCGGAACUGCCUUCAAAACUGCUAGCCUAGAGGAUGUGAGAGGAGAGUGGAAUUCCGAGUGUAGAGGUGAAAUUCGUAGAUAUUAGGAAGAACACCAGUGGCGAAGGCGGCGGUCUGGCGCAGUACUGACGCUGAGGCGCGAAAGCGUGGGGAGCAAACAGG
rnacentral:rRNA from 1 species